AAGCGAUGGGGUGACGCAGGAAGGUAGCUGGGCCAGUCAGUGGUUGUACUGGUGUAAGAGUGUAGGCCGUGACAUAGGCAAAUCCGUGUCACAUUAAGGCUGAGACUUGAUGCAUACCCGUUGUGGGGAAUUCAGUGAUCCUAUGCUGCCGAGAAAAGCCUCUAGUGAGUUCAUACACGGCCCGUACCCCAAACCGACACAGGUGAUCAGGUAGAGAAUACCAAGGCGAUCGAGAGAACUGUGGUUAAGGAACUCGGCAAAAUGCCCCCGUAACUUCGGGAGAAGGGGGACCAUGCCCGGUGAACAUCUUCACGGUGGGAGCUGGGUGUGGUCGCAGAGACCAGAGAGAAGCGACUGUUUACUAAAAACACAGGUCCGUGCGAAGACGUAAGUCGAUGUAUACGGACUGACGCCUGCCCGGUGCUGGAAGGUUAAGAGGACCGGUUAGCCGUAAGGCGAAGCUGAGAAUUUAAGCCCCAGUAAACGGCGGUGGUAACUAUAACCAUCCUAAGGUAGCGAAAUUCCUUGUCGGGUAAGUUCCGACCUGCACGAAUGGCGUAACGACUUCUCUGCUGUCUCGACCACAGACUCGGCGAAAUUGCACUACGAGUAAAGAUGCUCGUUACGCGCGGCAGGACGAAAAGACCCCGGGACCUUUACUAUAGCUUGGUAUUGGCGUUCGAUUCGGUUUGUGUAGGAUAGGUGGGAGACUGUGAAGCAUGCACGCCAGUGUGUGUGGAGUCGUUGUUGAAAUACCACUCUGAUCGUAUUGGACGUCUAACCUCGGCCCAUGAUCUGGGUUAGGGACAGUGCCUGGUGGGUAGUUUAACUGGGGCGGUUGCCUCCUAAAGAGUAACGGAGGCGCCCAAAGGUUCCCUCAGCCUGGAUGGCAAUCAGGUGUUGAGUGCAAGUGCACAAGGGAGCUUGACUGUGAGACUGACACGUCGAGCAGGGACGAAAGUCGGGACUAGUGAUCCGGCACCGGCAAGUGGAAGCGGUGUCGCUCAACGGAUAAAAGGUACCCCGGGGAUAACAGGCUGAUCUUCCCCAAGAGUCCAUAUCGACGGGAUGGUUUGGCACCUCGAUGUCGGCUCGUCGCAUCCUGGGGCUGGAGUAGGUCCCAAGGGUUGGGCUGUUCGCCCAUUAAAGCGGCACGCGAGCUGGGUUUAGAACGUCGUGAGACAGUUCGGUCUCUAUCCGCCGCGCGCGUAAGAAACUUGAGGAAGGCUGUCCCUAGUACGAGAGGACCGGGACGGACGAACCUCUGGUGUGCCAGUUGUUCCACCAGGAGCAUGGCUGGUUAGCUACGUUCGGAAGGGAUAACCGCUGAAAGCAUCUAAGCGGGAAGCCUGUUCCAAGAUGAGGUUUCUCACCACCUUGCGUGGUUAAGGCCCCCUACAGACCAUGGGGUUGAUAGGCCGGAACUGGAAGCGCAGCAAUGCGUGGAGGUGACCGGUACUAAUAGGCCGAGGGU
rnacentral:rRNA from 1 species